GAUGAGCGCUGGCGGCGUGCCUAAUACAUGCAAGUCGAGCGGAAAGGUUCUGCACUUAUUAUUUGAACGGUUUAAGUCUACUUGGUAGAUACUAACCGAAAACGCAGUCCAUUGGCUAAUGGGCGCGGUCGAAUAAUGGGUGUAGAAUACUCGAGCGGCGGACGGCUGAGUAACGCGUAGGAACGUACCCCAAAGUGAGGAAUAACUGCCCGAAAGGGUGGCUAAUGCCGCAUGUGAUCUACGGAUUAAAGCUUUAUGCGCUUUGGGAACGGCCUGCGUAUGAUUAGCUAGUUGGUGAGGUAAUGGCUCACCAAGGCGAUGAUCAUUAGCUGGUCUGAGAGGAUGAUCAGCCGGACUGGGACUGAGAACGGCCCAGACUCCUACGGGAGGCAGCAGUAGGGAAUUUUCCACAAUGGGCGAAAGCCUGAUGGAGCAACGCCGCGUGCAGGAUGAAUGCCUUCGGGUUGUAAACUGCUUUUAUUAGUGACGAUUAUGACGGUAGCUAAUGAAUAAGGACCUGCUAACUACGUGCCAGCAGCCGCGGUCAUACGUAGGGUCCAAGCGUUAUCCGGAAUUACUGGGCGUAAAGAGUUGCGUAGGUGGCAGAGUAAGUAGAUAGUGAAAGCGUGUGGCUCAACCA
rnacentral:rRNA from 1 species